GUGAGGAAUAUUGGUCAAUGGGCGGGAGCCUGAACCAGCCAAGUCGCGUGAAGGAAGAAGGAUCUAUGGUUCGUAAACUUCUUUUGCAGGGGAAUAAAGUGCAGGACGUGUCCUGUUUUGUAUGUACCCUGAGAAUAAGGAUCGGCUAACUCCGUGCCAGCAGCCGCGGUAAUACGGAGGAUCCGAGCGUUAUCCGGAUUUAUUGGGUUUAAAGGGUGCGUAGGUGGUUUGAUAAGUCAGCGGUGAAAGUUUGCAGCUUAACUGUAAAAAUGCCGUUGAAACUGUCGGACUUGAGUGUAAAUGAGGUAGGCGGAAUGCGUGGUGUAGCGGUGAAAUGCAUAGAUAUCACGCAGAACUCCGAUUGCGAAGGCAGCUUACUAAGCUACAACUGACACUGAAGCACGAAAGCGUGGGAUCAAACAGGAUUAGAUACCCGAGUAGUCC
rnacentral:rRNA from 1 species